rnacentral:lncRNA from 1 species
CUUCCACACUGUGCACAUGGCUACGUCAUUCUCACGUGACGGCCAGCAUGCCUUGAUCUCGGUCUGGGUGUAUCAAUCAUCCAUUCAAACUAUUCUCUACGUCAACUUUAACUGUACCAUUUGCUUCCAAUUUGGAGAUAUAAUUUGCAUCUCAUUUAUUUAGCAUAAGAAAAUCAGGACAGUUUAAUAUAUUAUUAAGAGUGAAUUAUUAUGAUUAAGAAGAUCACAAUAUUAUCCCUCAAUAAUAUUAAAAAAUUAUCUUUAACUGAUCUUCUAUUCAACAGUUUAGAACUCUAUUCCUUCAAUUAUCUCGUUUGCACAGACUCAUGACAUAAUAUUAGGUCCAACAAUAUUGCAUUGAAUUUGGAAAAAAAUAAUAUGGUCUUUGUAGGUUUAGUUAGGUUUCGUUUGCCAUAGGUUGGAUUAACUUGCGGCUUUUGUUAAAUAACGGAAUUGAUUUGUUUAUAAAAGUAAAAACAAUAAAAUGACAAGGACGCAUAAAUACACACCCUCUAAUUAGUAUCUCCAACGAGAGAUGGAAACUGUUUUGAAAUGAACAAUGUACAUUUUUUUUUACUCCACAGUAAGCUGAAAUUUGUUGAUGCAAAAUACACAACUCACUGGAAAAUAGAAAAAAUUAAUCUGUAUUUCCUUUUUUUUGUUUUUUCCAUCUCCCAGUUCAGAGAAAUUGAUGGUAUUGCGCGGUUCCUCACGCCCCUUGUUGAAUACUGGCUGUUCAAAAAAAAAAAGAAAAUUUUUAAUGUACCAAAAACAACAUUAAAUACAAAACUGUAUAAAAGAGGAGCUCAAAAUUAUC